rnacentral:tRNA from 2 species
GGAAGGGUGGGUGAGUGGCUGAAACCAACGGUUUGCUAAACCGUCUUAGGGAGUAAAUCCUUAACGAGAGUUCGAAUCUCUCCUCUUCCG